rnacentral:rRNA from 1 species
UUAUGUAUCAAUACUAGUAAAAUAUAUCAUCAGAACUCCACAGUUAAACUUGUUGGACGAAAGUAGUACUUGAAUGGAUGAUCUUCUGAGAAGUCUUUGUAUUGCACGGA